rnacentral:rRNA from 1 species
CCUACGGGAGACAGCAGUGGGGGAUAUUGCACAAUGGGCGAAACCCUGAUGCAGCGACGCCGCGUGCGUGAAGACGUAUUUCGGUAUGUAAAGCUCUAUCUGCAGGGAAGAAAAUGACAGUACCUGUCCACCAAGCCCCGGCUAACUACGUGCCAGCAGCCCCGGUAAUACGAAGGGGGCAAGCGUUAUCCGGAUUUACUGGGUGUAAAGGGAGCGUAGGCGGUUAUGUAAGUCUGUAGUGAAAGCCCGGGGCCCAACCCCGGGACUGCUUUGGAAACUGUGGAACUGGAGUACAGGAGGGGCAGGCGGAAUGCCUGGUGUAGCGGUGAAAUGCGUAGAUAUCAGGAGGAACACCGGCGGCGAAGGCGGCCUGCUGGACUGAAACUGACGUUGAGGCUCGAAAGCGUGGGGAGCAAACAGGAUUAGAUACCCUUGUAGUC